rnacentral:rRNA from 1 species
AGUGAACGCUGGCGGCAGGCCUAACACAUGCAAGUCGAACGGCAGCACAGCAGUAGCAAUACUGUGGGUGGCGAGUGGCGGACGGGUGAGGAAUACAUCGGAAUCUACCUUGUCGUGGGGGAUAACGUAGGGAAACUUACGCUAAUACCGCAUACGACCUACGGGUGAAAGCGGAGGACCGCAAGGCUUCGCGCGAUAAGAUGAGCCGAUGUCCGAUUAGCUAGUUGGCGGGGUAAUGGCCCACCAAGGCGACGAUCGGUAGCUGGUCUGAGAGGAUGAUCAGCCACACUGGAACUGAGACACGGUCCAGACUCCUACGGGAGGCAGCAGUGGGGAAUAUUGGACAAUGGGCGCAAGCCUGAUCCAGCCAUGCCGCGUGGGUGAAGAAGGCCUUCGGGUUGUAAAGCCCUUUUGUCCGGAAAGAAAAGCAUCGGGCUAAUACCUCGAUGUUCUGACGGUACCGGAAGAAUAAGCACCGGCUAACUUCGUGCCAGCAGCCGCGGUAAAAC